rnacentral:rRNA from 1 species
UACGUAGGGUGCAGGCGUUAAUCGGAAUUACUGGGCGUAAAGCGUGCGCAGGCGGUUCGACAAGUCCGAUGUGAAAGCCCCGGGCUCAACCUGGGAAUGGCAUUGGAAACUGGCGGGCUGGAGUGUGGCAGAGGGGGGUGGAAUUCCGCGUGUAGCAGUGAAAUGCGUAGAGAUGCGGAGGAACACCGAUGGCGAAGGCAGCCCCCUGGGCUGACACUGACGCUCAGGCACGAAAGCGUGGGGAGCAAACAGG